CAGUCCCAAUCCAGAUGAAUGAUCCACAAUGUUCUGGCUGAGAGGAGAAUUCUAGACAGCAGCUCUUCAAUUCCACCCCAGAAUCAAGUAGUAGUCAAGACCAGCAAUAUUUCAGAAUGUUCCAUUCCACCCAAAGCAAGUUAUACUGUUCUCCAGAGAAAAGGAGGAUCCUAGCCACAUCGGCAAGGCUUUGGUUUGCUGCUACCUAAACCCAUAAUACCUGGACUGGGGCG